AUUGAGCGCUGGCGGAAUGCUUUACACAUGCAAGUCGAACGGUAGAGGGGGCAACCCCUCGAGAGUGGCGAACGGGUGAGUAAUAUAUCGGAACGUGCCCAGUCGUGGGGGAUAACGUAGCGAAAGUUACGCUAAUACCGCAUACGAUCUAAGGAUGAAAGCGGGGGAUCGCAAGACCUCGCGCGAUUGGAGCGGCCGAUAUCAGAUUAGGUAGUUGGUGGGGUAAAGGCUCACCAAGCCAACGAUCUGUAGCUGGUCUGAGAGGACGACCAGCCACACUGGAACUGAGACACGGUCCAGACUCCUACGGGAGGCAGCAGUGGGGAAUUUUGGACAAUGGACGCAAGUCUGAUCCAGCCAUUCCGCGUGCAGGAUGAGGGCCCUCGGGUUGUAAACUGCUUUUGUACGGAACGAAAAGGUCUCUCUUAAUACGGGGGACUCAUGACGGUACCGUAAGAAUAAGCACCGGCUAACUACGUGCCAGCCGCCGCAGUAA
rnacentral:rRNA from 1 species